rnacentral:ncRNA from 1 species
UAAAAAUUUUAUUCUAGUUUUACAAUUGUUAAUAAAAUAUAUAAAUGUAUAUAAUUUAAAUAUUAAAAAUAAAUAAUUAUUAACAAUUAAAAAUUAAUAAAUUAAAGAAAUUUAAUAAUAAAUAAUAAUAAUAAAUUAACAAAUUCAAGUGCCAGCAGUUGCGGUUAAACUUAAAAUUAAUCAAUUCUUUAUACUAAAAACUAAUAUAAAUUUAAAUAAAGAAUAAAAAUUAUUAUUUAAUAAGUUGAAUUUAUAAUUAUAUAAAAAAUCUUAAAAUAAAUAUUAAAAAGUUAAUAAAUUAUAAUUAAAACUAGGAUUAGAUACCCUAUUAUAAUAAAUAAAAAAAUACUAAAGUAGUAAAAGUUAAAAUCUUCAAACUUAAAAAAUUUGGCGGUAUUUUAAUCUAAUUAGAGGAAUCUGUUUUAUAAUUGAUAAACCACAAGUUACCCAACUUAUUAAAAAAAUAAUAAUAUUUAUAUAUCGCUGUUAAAUAUAAAUUAAAAAAUUAUAUAUAAAAAAAUUAUCUAAUUAAAAAAUCAAGUCAACACAUAAUAAAAAAAUAAGAAAAUAUGGAUUACAUUUACUUUAAGUUAAUAAAAUUUUUUAAUAAAAAAAAAAUAAAAAAGGAUUUAAAAUUAAAAUUUUUUAAAAUUAAAAAUUUAAAUAAGAAAUAAUAUAUGUACAAAUCGCCCGUCACUCUUAUAUAAAUUAAGAUAAGUCGUAACAAAGUAAAUUAACUGGAAAGUGAAUUUAGAAAAUA